GUGGGCUGGACGUGGGCCUCCGCGUCGUGGACUGGCGAGUCGGGUUGCUGCCUGGUGGGCAGAGGGGAAGGAGGCUGCUCCUCCUGGAGGCUGGGACGUCUCUAGCCCAGAUUAGGCUACAUUUUUAAGAGAAUAAAAGGGCAGGAUUUAAGUUCUAGGUCUAAGUUAAGUUUUACCGAGCGUUGUGUCUGUUAGUGCUGUGCUUAACCGCGGCCUUUGCACGCCCUGUGUCGGCUGCGGUUGGGCGGGGAUCCCCAGCACGCUGCGGUGUGCAUGGAGCGAUCCGGCCUUUACCUGCUGCUCGGCAAGGAGGGGCUUUUCUUGGCAGUUUGGGUGGAGCGUAGCGGGAUGGCAAGCUAUGGAAACGGAGAGCGUUCGUGCUCUGCUAUUGCGUUCACUGCUAUUCACUCUUGGUCCCUUCACCAUUUGUAACCCGGAGCUGCUUUGUUUCAAACUCCAUUCGCUUUAUUUGUUGUUCCAUCGGUGUAAUCGCCUCGUGCUACCCGUUCUACAGAAAACUGGUUUUCCAGAACCCUGCAAUCCCCCAUCUGUGAUCUCUAGAUGUCUCUAUUGCCCUAAUGUAAGAAAAAUAUGAAAAAGGCAGGGACAGCAAAACAGUUGGUAUGUGAUCUUGGACAGAAAUGUAUAUGUGAAAGAUCCCUCUGUCUUCUCCUCCGCAGCUAGAUUCGAGUGGGAUUUGUCCGUUCGGUUGUGGGGAAGAAACGUAGCGUGCCCGUUCCCGUUGUUUUUCACUGAUGCAAGCUUGCAGCUCGCAUGCGCUUCCCCAGGUGCUGGGUGCUCCCUUCCCGUGGAGCUGCAGGAUCCCCGUGCCAGCGCUGUGCCCCAGGAGACGUGGUCCUGCAGCAGAUGCCAGGCUGAGGAGGAGCCCGAGAGCAGGAGUCCAGAUCUUCUAUACAUUCUAAUCAUGGAGAACAGAAGCGGGAUGGUAAAAUGGCAUGCCUCACGCCACCCAGAAAAUCAGUAGCAGAG